rnacentral:sRNA from 1 species
CAAAGGGAAUGUUUAUGUUUGAGAUUCUGCAAACAGGGCAGCAAGUGUGAAGACUUAGAAAGAUGAAGCCAUUAACAGUCAUCUGGGGACCUGGAGAAUGACGAGCAGGCAGCCAGUGCCAUCUCUGAGCUGGUCAGCACAGCCUGCGGUUUCCGGCUGCACCGCGGCAUGAAUGUGCCCUUCAAGCGCCUGUCUGUGGUCUUUGGAGAACACACACUGCUGGUGACGGUGUCAGGACAGAGGGUGUUUGUGGUGAAGAGGCAGAACCGAGGUCGGGAGCCCAUUGAUGUCUGAGCCUGCCGGAGGGCGAGGGUCGCAGAAGCGGAUUGGGUCCUGGGCCUCUGUGAUGAGGCAGGCACACACGUCGGUCUUGGCUUGCUGCUAUAACUAGGGCCUUCUGCUCGCCCACCUCCCACCCCUACCUGGAUGGGCCGAGGCUUGGGGACUUUGAGCUGUGUUAAGAACAAGGGCAAGGAGACCUCCCUUUGUGCUCCCUCCCUCCCUAAUAAACACGAGUCUGAUGUUAUCCA